UGGACGGAUGCUUGUUGGUUUAAGUGCUUAGCUGUUAACUAGGAGAUUGCAAGAUCGAAGCUUGCCUGUCCAG
rnacentral:tRNA from 1 species